rnacentral:rRNA from 1 species
AUGGGAAAAAGCCCGGAACAAAAGUUGCCAAGAGCCCUAGGGAAAUUGCCUGUCUGCUCAACUGUACUUGCCCAACCUGAGACCACUAGUGUUCCAGAAGCAGUAGAAGCAACUGGCCAGGGGAACACUUACCAUUUCUCUAAUGUGGAGGAGCAGUACCACGAAUUCAUGCAUGUUAAUGGGAAGGCAACCAAUGCACUAGAAAUCAAUGUUCUAGCUGUGAGUGAGCUGUUUGCAAGCCCAAGGGUAAUUGAAUAUGGCAAGUACUUUGUCACUGUCAGGGAGCUCGCAAACUCAAUGAAGAAGGGGGGUUUGUCGUGA